rnacentral:rRNA from 1 species
AUUGAACGCUGGCGGCAUGCUUUACACAUGCAAGUCGAACGGUAACAGGUUAAGCUGACGAGUGGCGAACGGGUGAGUAAUGCAUCGGAACGUGCCCGGUCGUGGGGGAUAACGCAGCGAAAGCUGCGCUAAUACCGCAUACGAUCUGAGGAUGAAAGCGGGGGACCGUAAGGCCUCGCGCGAUUGGAGCGGCCGAUAUCAGAUUAGCUAGUUGGUGGGGUAAAAGGACCCACCAAGGCGACGAUCUGUAGCUGGUCUGAGAGGACGACCAGCCACACUGGAACUGAGACACGGUCCAGACUCCUACGGGAGGCAGCAGUGGGGAAUUUUGGACAAUGGGCGCAAGCCUGAUCCAGCAAUA